UGAUGUCAGUUCCUCUUCCUGUUGGCAGUCUCAACAGGAAGAUUUUAUGACAUCACAGAGAAAUUUGGGGUCGUUUCACCCAGAAAGCUGCAGGCCUCGCGCCAAAGAACAUUCGGCUUGCUGGUUUUGCGGGACCCCACAAAA